rnacentral:lncRNA from 1 species
ACGGGUCAGGGCCUCUCUGCCUCAAAUACCAGGCUAUGCCUAAGUACCUGUGUGCUGGAGAGACUGGCGGAUCUUCAUUCCUAUUAGCAUCCUUUAAGUCAGCUCAAAAGGAGAUCAGAUAAAAAGAAAACAAAUGAACCUGAGUGGCCUCUGUGUGGGUGUUUUGGUCGCCCUUCUUGACAGUGACUGUCUCUGUCAUUUUUUCUGGCUGCUUCCAUUUCGUAUUUUGGGAAUUCUCUAUUUGCGGACUUUGCCCAUCUUCCUGUGGACUGUGCGUCUAUCACAAGGUUAUGAGACACGCUGGCCAGCUGUGAUCCACCUCCUGCUCCCCACGCUGUGAUCUGUCUCCUAGCGUCAUGCAUGUGACUGGACUGUCCUACGUUUGAGGUUCUGAGGUCAGUCGG